GGUAAAAUUGCUAAAGUAAAGAAUAUUCACUUGAAAACACAGAGAAAAGCGGAAGGACUAGGGUAGCAAUUAUACCCUAGUCACAAAACACGCGAAUCCUCCUGGUAAACGGGUCGGGUCGUGCACGGGUCACGCAGAACGACGCCGUUUUAGCGCUAAAAACCCCUGAACGAAACGGCGGCGUUUUGUAAUAGUAUAAAAACUAAAAUUUUUUAAAGAAUCCUCAUUUCUCCUUUUAUUUCAAAAAAAACGACUAGAGAGUGAUUCUCUCUCAGCCUUCCCCCUAGAUCGGCCUAGGUCUCCGAUGGAGGGCUCCGGCGCACCUACACCAUAGCUCUGCCGCAAGCGGCGGCCGGAGGUGCAAAAUCGGCCCUUUCUUAGCCCUGUUUAAAGCUCGUCACCCCUAGAACCCGGAUUCAAGGUUGAAUCCUUGGAAAAGUGGCCACGAACCCUAGAACAGAAGGGAAACCGUUCGGCUUCUCCUCUGGCACGGCGCAGGUAAGGCUUUCCCCUCUUUUUUUUCGAUUUAUAGAUGCGUAUAUAAAAUAAAAAUAAAAACAAAAUAUUGAAAAAAAAAUGAAAGAUUCGGACCUUAAAACUUUCUCAGAAUUCGAUCUCUGUUCUUUUAUUUCUUUUUCUUUUUAUUUCUGAAAAAAAACGCUACAUUUGUUUGGUUUUUGGGCUUAUAUAGCCAAAUACAUCUUUUUUGCUACUGUUUGUUUCUGCUAUCUCUGUUUCUGUCUAUUGGUUGCUGUUUUCGUCUAUUUUGCAGGUCAUGAGGAGUCAAUGGGCAGAAACCAUUGCCAUUUUGGUGCAACCUCGGUGAAGGAGUCGUCAUCGGGCGUCGUGCACGCCGAGGGCGCUCAUGGGGAAGUCUGCGGCGCAAGAAGGGAAGGGAAACCCUAGGGUUUCUGAAAAUUUUAAGCUCUUUGGGCUUAUCGGGCUUGAUUUUUUGGGCCAGUUAGACUAUAAUUUUUGGUUUAUUCUGCUGGUAUGGGCCCGGGCUGAAAUUGGGCUGUAAAUCCCUCAUUUCCUCUCACUUUAUUUAUUUUGAAAUUUUUAUCUACUUUUAUUUUUUUAUUUUAAUAUUUAAAAUUUAAAAUUUUCUAAUUUUUUUAAAAUCAAUUUUUAUCAUUUUAUAUAUAACCAAGGUCAAAUUGAAAAAAAAGUAUAAAAACGGAGGAAUAAAUUUAUUAUUAUACAAACUAAAAAGUGUCACUUAAUCGUUGGGUGACAAAUUUUUUUUUUCAAAAACUUUAGUAAUCAAAUUGUAAUUUUUUUUAGUAAAGUACCAAAAAUAAAAAUUUACUCAUAAUUCAAUGACUAAUUGUAAAAUUUACCCAUAUAUUGUUGUAUUAAUUGAAACCCAGAAAGAGCCAACGGAUGUCAAGUGGUGAAUUAGAGAAAAAAAAAGAUUUAAAUAUAAAAUUCGCCUUCAAACUAUAUCAUUUUUUUCAUUUAGGUACCUAAAGAUUUUUCAGGUCAAAAGUAAUACUAAACUACUAAUGUCGUCUCAUUUAUCUAAUAAAAAUGUGACACAUGAUACAUUCAUACUAAACGCUUUGUGUGGGUUUUGGGUAAAAUAAGAAAUUGAUAGUUUAUGUAUCACUUUUGACCAAACAACCUUUAAAUACCUAAAUGAAAAAAAUAAUAUAAUUUGGGGGGUCGAUUUAUAGUUAAGCCAAAACAAACAAACAAAACCAAGCAAGCAAUUUGCCAACCAAAUUGCUAAAUUUUUUUUCCUUAAACUAUG
rnacentral:lncRNA from 1 species